UUACGAUUUAUUUUAAACGAUAAAUUUAUAAACGAAAAUUUAUUUAUUUUUCGUUAACGAUAUAUUUUACGAGACUUUGUUUUAAUUAAACAUUUCUAUUUUUAGUAAUUUCCAAAAAUAGAAACAGAAUUUCUGAAUUUUAGCCAACCAUGUGAAAUUACGAAAAUGCCCUUGGAGCACCAAGAUUCCAUUUCCCUUUCUUCUCUUCCUUGCUCCCCACGUACAAAGUAAGGAGGAAAUUUCCUUCCUUCCUUCUUCCUUCAUUUCAGUCUCCAUUCAAAACAAAAAUCAAGUUUGCUUCUUCCACUUCAAUCCUUUACAAAUUCAACAAUUUCAGAAUUUCCAUUUGCAAAAACAAGAGACCAAUUCCACUUCUUUUUCUCUCUUCUCUGAUUCAAGCAAUCAAUCACCACCAUCACUGAAACCACCGUGACAACCACCGUCCACCACCACCAUUAUCUGCUGCCCAGCACCACCAUCUCAACCACGCACCAACCACCAUCCCCUCCGCCCUCUUCGCUCUCCCCUGUCCCUCUUUGCUCACUCCCCUGCUCUUCCCUCUCACGCACACCUCUGCCUCCCUCUUUCUUCGCCGCUGCCGCACCACCCAGCCACGAAACCACCACACCUAGGCCACCACACCACUUUCUAUACCCACCUCCGCCUCACAAGACCCGGCAGCUGCUGCUGCGCCGCCCAGAAUCGACCGGGAAACACCCCUCCCCUGUUUCUCUCCCCUGUCUCGCCCUGUUCGUGCUCCCCCUUCCUUUCUCUCGCUGUCGCAUCACCCACAACCACCAUCACCGGCGCACUUUCGCGCCUCCGUAUCGCCCAGGCAUCAGCCAUCCAGCCGCCACCUCCCUUCUCUCCGCCCUUCCUCUUCGUCCGUCCCCUGUUCCUUUGUGUUCUGUUUCCCUCAAAGGAAACGAGUUCCAGUAAUUGGAACUUUGUUUUGUUGCUCAAGUUAAGCCCACAUUCCCUUGGCCCAAAUUCCCAAAAAAUCGAACUCGGAGCUCAGGAAUAACGAUCCAUCGAACAGGAAGUAUAAACUACGGUUGAGGUACGAAGAAGAUCAUGGGAUGCCUUAGAGUGAGGAUGCAACCAUCAAAUUCACGAUCGAUGUUUAGUAGAGACAAUUAUGUCAUUAGUAAUAAAGGGAUGUAUUAAUUAAACUCUAAGUUUGAUCUCAUGAUUUGAGUUAGAUUUUAAU